CUCAAGCCAGUCAGCAGACUUGUGAAGGCAGAGAGUCCAUGAAAGAGAGCAGCAGUGGCACAAGCUUUUUGUAAUGCCUGUACUGCCCAAUGAAAAAUGGACUGAUCUCUCCUGCUAUACAGGAAUUCAAGUCUUAAAAAGUUAAACAGUGCUGUGGUUCGGAUGCUGUACUAACAUCAAAGACAGCAGGCUUUUUUAUACUGAAGAUAAAGAGGGAGGUGUCUGUUACUGUUUUUAGGAACUCCCUCUCUUUUACUGUUUGUUUAUAUUCUGUUACUGAACUGCAAAGUUCUCAGUGGAAAGGAGGUUUCAGACGGAAAACCAUGGAGAGAUAAUGGCCAGCCCAGGCAGGAGCUUGUUGCUGUGACCAGAAGCAGAGGAAGAGGCUGCCACUUGCACAUCCAGCAGUGAUGAGACAGCAGCACGUCACUCCUGAAAGACGCGGAGAAAUGCUGUGAGCUCCUAGCGGUGAAGAGUGUCCCCUCUAAAGGGGACGAAAGUACUCCAAUGCACUGUGCCCUGAAUGCAGCUGUGUGACUAAAUAGACACAGAGGCGGCAGCGUGGACACUAACAGAGAUGUGAGAAGAUACUGGUUUCUUUUCAGCAUCCAGAAGCUGACUGUACACUUCAUAAUAUGGAGACACAGAAGAGAGACCCCCGUCUCUAGGAGAAGAUACAAGAUGGGAGUAUCAGUCCAAGAGAAUUUCGAACUGUUGGCACUCAGCAUGGUUUCAAGAAUCCUGAUGUCCAAACUAGCAUGUUUAAAUAUCACAUUUUGUUCCUUUCAUCUGUGAAAUGCGUGUGUAAUUUUCUAAUUCACACAGUGAAAUCU
rnacentral:lncRNA from 1 species